GAGUUUGAUCCUGGCUCAGAUUGAACGCUGGCGGCAUGCCUUACACAUGCAAGUCGAACGGCAGCACGGGAGCUUGCUCCUGGUGGCGAGUGGCGAACGGGUGAGUAAUGCAUCGGAACGUAUCCUGGAGUGGGGGAUAACGUAGCGAAAGUUACGCUAAUACCGCAUAUUCUGUGAGCAGGAAAGCGGGGGACCUUCGGGCCUCGCGCUCUUGGAGCGGCCGAUGUCGGAUUAGCUAGUUGGUGAGGUAAAGGCUCACCAAGGCGACGAUCCGUAGCAGGUCUGAGAGGAUGAUCUGCCACACUGGAACUGAGACACGGUCCAGACUCCUACGGGAGGCAGCAGUGGGGAAUUUUGGACAAUGGGGGCAACCCUGAUCCAGCCAUGCCGCGUGAGUGAAGAAGGCCUCGGUUGUAAG
rnacentral:rRNA from 29 species